rnacentral:rRNA from 1 species
UACGUAGGGUGCGAGCGUUGUCCGGAAUUAUUGGGCGUAAAGGGCUCGUAGGCGGUCUGUCGCGUCGGGAGUGAAAACUCAGGGCUUAACCCUGAGCCUGCUUCCGAUACGGGCAGACUAGAGGUAUGCAGGGGAGAACGGAAUUCCUGGUGUAGCGGUGAAAUGCGCAGAUAUCAGGAGGAACACCGGUGGCGAAGGCGGGUCUCUGGGCCGAUACUGACGCUGAGGAGCGAAAGCAUGGGUAGCGAACAGG